GACGAACGCUGGCGGCGUGCUUAACACAUGCAAGUCGAGCGGGGGUCCAACCAGUGGCAACACUGGGGAAGGCCUAGCGGCGAACGGGUGAGUAACACGUGAGCAACCUGCCCCGAAGUUCGGGAUAACACCGGGAAACCGGUGCUAAUACCGGGUGCCCCCACUCUGACCGCAUGAUCGGAUGAGGAAAGGACUAUGUCUAAUAAAC
rnacentral:rRNA from 1 species